rnacentral:rRNA from 1 species
AGAGUUUGAUCCUGGCUCAGGAUGAACGCUGACAGAAUGCUUAACACAUGCAAGUCAUUGGCGAAGCUGCGCUUGCGCAGUCUAGCCAAGGCGGACGGGUGAGUAACGCGUAAGGAACUUGCCCUGCAGACAGGGAUAACAGACGGAAACGACUGAUAACACCUGGUAUUGUCAGGCUGGCGCAUGCCGGCCUGAUGAAAGGAGACGCUGCAGGAGAGCCUUGCGUCCUAUUAGCUAGUUGGUGGGGUAACGGCCCACCAAGGCGAUGAUAGGUAGCCGGCCUGAGAGGGUGAACGGCCACAAGGGGACUGAGAUACGGCCCUUACUCCUACGGGAGGCAGCAGUGGGGAAUAUUGGACAAUGGGGGCAACCCUGAUCCAGCAAUUCUGUGUGCACGAAGAAGGUUUUCGGAUUGUAAAGUGCUUUCAGCAGGGAAGAAGAAAGUGACGGUACCUGCAGAAGAAGCGACGGCUAAAUACGUGCCAGCAGCCGCGGUAAUACGUAUGUCGCAAGCGUUAUCCGGAAUUAUUGGGCAUAAAGGGCAUCUAGGCGGCCCUGUAAGUCUAGGGUGAAAACCUGCGGCUCAACCGCAGGCCUGCCCCGGAAACUACAGGGCUAGAGUAUCGGAGAGGUGGACGGAACUGCACGAGUAGAGGUGAAAUUCGUAGAUAUGUGCAGGAAUGCCGAUGAUGAAGAUAGUUCACUGGACGGUAACUGACGCUGAAGUGCGAAAGCUAGGGGAGCAAACAGGAUUAGAUACCCUGGUAGUCCUAGCUGUAAACGAUGAUUACUGGGUGUGGGCAUGAAGAGUGUCCGUGCCGAAGCAAAUGCGAUAAGUAAUCCGCCUGGGGAGUACGGCCGCAAGGCUGAAACUCAA